AAGAGCAUAGUAUAAGUGGUAAUAUAAUGAUCUCCAAAAUCGUUGUUAGGUGUUCGAGUCGCCUUGCUCUUG
rnacentral:tRNA from 1 species